rnacentral:tRNA from 2 species
GCGGGCAUAGCUCAGUUGGUAGAGCGCGAGCUUCCCAAGCUUGAGGUCGCGAGUUCGACCCUCGUUGCCCGCUCCA